AGUGAACGCUGGCGGUAGGCCUAACACAUGCAAGUCGAACGGCAGCACAGGAGAGCUUGCUCUCUGGGUGGCGAGUGGCGGACGGGUGAGGAAUACAUCGGAAUCUACUCUGUCGUGGGGGAUAACGUAGGGAAACUUACGCUAAUACCGCAUACGACCUACGGGUGAAAGCAGGGGAUCUUCGGACCUUGCGCGAUUGAAUGAGCCGAUGUCGGAUUAGCUAGUUGGCGGGGUAAAGGCCCACCAAGGCGACGAUCCGUAGCUGGUCUGAGAGGAGGAGCAGCCACACUGGAACUGAGACACGGUCCAGACUCCUACGGGAGGCAGCAGUGGGGAAUAUUGGACAAUGGGCGCAAGCCUGAUCCAGCCAUACCGCGUGGGUGAAGAAGGCCUUCGGGUUGUAAAGCCCUUUUGUUGGGAAAGAAAUCCAGCUGGCUAAUACCCGGUUGGGAUGACGGUACCCAAAGAAUAAGCACCGGCUAACUUCGUGCCAGCCGCCGCCGUAA
rnacentral:rRNA from 1 species